GUACUUCCCAUUUUUCACGUUUUUGAAUUCUGUUUGGUUGCUGAGAAAAUUAGGUGGAAAAUUUGAAUAAAUCAGUUUAACAAAACGAAAAGGAAAACACUGGAAGGAGAAAGAAGCUGGCUAUGACAACCAACUCCAGAUAGAAGAAAAUAAACUGAAGCAUUUUUCUUUUGGUCAGAUAGAGUAAUUGAAACAUACAGCAUGAAGAAUGGAAAAUUAAUUUGGUUGCAGAAGAAUACGAAGGCAAAGUAUGUAUCUUACAUGCUUUAAUCUUGACUGAGGCAGCAUUAGAGCCCAACUUAGCCUUAUUGCACAAAACUCCCCAACAAUAAAGAUUUUAAUUUUACUAUAUAUUUGCUUUCUUUUCCAACGGAGACCGACAAAGAUUGCAAAUACCAACUCAGGAGAUAAUAAGAUCAACAAACCAAUAAUUUUACAAUUCCAUUCCCUCUGGGACAAGAACAAAAUGGUUACCUAUCAUGUUAAAGUUAAGCUCUGUCAAGGCAGCAAGACCGCAACCACCGAUGAUUGGAAGGAGGGACAGGUAGACUGAUAUAGGGAAGGACUCGCCCAGCAAGAACCUCGAAACCAAUACACUGAAAGCUGGCUCUCCACUCUUGAUGAUAUGGGUGAAGGAAACUGCAACCUUAGACAUACUAACAGUAGCUGCUACAUGCCCAAUUGUAUGUGCCACAGCAACCUGUUCAGGGAAAAUCAAACAAUAAAAUUUUUGUUGUGUUAAUUCUGUUUGUAUCAGUUUGUUCAACAAUAAUUGCGUGGAAAUUUGAAAUCUUUGGGGGGGUUUUGCUGGAAUUAGAAGGGUCUCGAGGAGGCAGCCGAUGCGCAACUGAACUCAGCGCCGCCGCGGAGUUCAUCGAAGAGGAG
rnacentral:lncRNA from 1 species